rnacentral:rRNA from 1 species
AUUGAACGCUGGCGGCAGGCUUAACACAUGCAAGUCGAGCGGAGAUGAGGUGCUUGCACCUUAUCUUAGCGGCGGACGGGUGAGUAAUGCUUAGGAAUCUGCCUAUUAGUGGGGGACAACAUUCCGAAAGGAAUGCUAAUACCGCAUACGCACUACGGGGGAAAGCAGGGGAUCUUCGGACCUUGCGCUAAGAGACGAGCCUAAGUCGGAUUAGCUAGUUGGUGCGGUAAAGGGCUACCAAGGCGACGCUCUGUAGCGGGUCUGAGAGGAUGAUCCGCCACACUGGGACUGAGACACGGCCCAGACUCCUACGGGAGGCAGCAGUGGGGAAUAUUGGACAAUGGGCGGAAGCCUGAUCCAGCCAUGCCGCGUGUGUGAAGAAGGCCUUUUGGUUGUAAAGCACUUUAAGCGAGGAGGAGGCUACCUGGAUUAAUACUCUAGGAUAGUGGACGUUACUCGCAGAAUAAGCACCGGCUAACUCUGUGCCAGCAGCCGCGGUAACAC